UGGCUCAGUGGUUGAGAGCACUGACUGCUCUUCCAGAGGUCCUGGGUUCAAUUCCCAG
rfam:Rattus norvegicus chromosome 19, whole genome shotgun sequence.